rnacentral:tRNA from 1 species
GACUCAAUGGUCCAGUGGUAAGGCGUUCGGUGCGAAGCCAGACGGUCUUGGGUUCGAUCCCCGAUGGGGUCA